ACCGCGGUAGCCUAGUUGGUAGUGGCGUCGGCAGCACCAUGGCAGUACAGAUGCCGAAGGUCGCAGGUUCAAAUCCUGCCUGCGGUG